UCCAUUCUUGGUGAUAACUUC
rnacentral:piRNA from 1 species